ACGGAAGGCAGCAGUGAGGAAUAUUGGUCAAUGGGCGGGAGCCUGAACCAGCCAAGUAGCGUGGAGGAAGACGGCCCUACGGGAUGUAAACCUCUUUAGCCGGGGAGCAAUAAGCGCCACGUGUGGCGUGAUGCGAGUACCCGGAGAAUAAGGAUCGGCUAACUCCGUGCCAGCAGCCGCGGUAAUACGGAGGAUCCGAGCGUUAUCCGGAUUUAUUGGGUUUAAAGGGUGCGCAGGCGGUCGAUUAAGUCAGUGGUAAAAUCGUGAGGCUCAACCUCAUCCCGCCAUUGAUACUGGUUGACUUGAUUUCGGUCGAGGCAGGCGGAAUUCGCCGUGUAGCGGUGAAAUGCAUAGAUAUGGCGAAGAACUCCGAUUGCGUAGGCAGCUUACCAGACCGACAAUGACGCUCAUGCACGAAAGUGCGGGGAUCGAACAGGAUUAGAUACCCUGGUA
rnacentral:rRNA from 1 species